ACGCUCGACACCUACGGGAGGGAGCAGUGGGGAAUAUUGCACAAUGGGGGAAACCCGUGAUGCAGCGACGCCGCGUGAGCGAAGAAGUAUCUCGGUAUGUAAAGCUCUAUCAGCAGGGAAGAAGAUGACGGUACCUGACUAAGAAGCACCGGCUAAAUACGUGCCAGCAGCCGCGGUAAUCUGAGGCGGGCGUGGACGAAGGC
rnacentral:rRNA from 1 species